UCNUGGGAUAACACUGACGCUCAUGCACGAAAGCGUGGGGAGCAANCAGGAUUAGAUACCCUGGUAGUCCACGCCNUAAACGAUGUCUACUAGUUGUCGGGGAUUAAUUUCCUUGGUAACGCAGCUAACGCGUGAAGUAGACCGCCUGGGGAGUACGGUCGCAAGAUUAAAACUCAAAGGAAUUGACGGGGACCCGCACAAGCGGUGGAUGAUGUGGAUUAAUUCGAUGCAACGCGAAAAACCUUACCUACGCUUGACAUGUCCGGAACCCUGAAGAGAUUUGGGGGUGCUCGAAAGAGAGCCGGAACACAGGUGCUGCAUGGCUGUCGUCAGCUCGUGUCGUGAGGUGUUGGGUUAAGUCCCGCAACGAGCGCAACCCUUAUCAUUAGUUGCUACGCAAGGGCACUCUAAUGAGACUGCCGGUGACAAACCGGAGGAAGGUGGGGAUGACGUCAAGUCCUCAUGGCCCUUAUGUGUAGGGCUUCACACGUCAUACAAUGGUCGGUACAGAGGGUUGCGAAGCCGCGAGGUGGAGCCAAUCCCAAAAAACCGAUCGUAGUCCGGAUUGCAGUCUGCAACU
rnacentral:rRNA from 1 species